GGCGCGGUACCCAAGUGGGAAGGGAGAGGUCUGCAAAACCUUCAUUCGUGGGUUCGAUUCCCACCCGCGCCUCCA
rnacentral:tRNA from 1 species